GUUACUCAACACUGCAGAUAUGACGCCUGUGUUCAUCUCAGUGUUGCUGGCUGCUGUGAGCCUUGAAUGCAGAGCACAAAAAGACAACGUGCUGCAACCAAAAGGAGACGUGACUGCUGCUGAAGGAGAGGCACUAACACUUGGCUGUCAAUAUAACAGCUCUUCAUUAAGUGUAAGUCUCUUCUGGUACAAACAGGAUGGAAACAACAGCCCCAAAUUCAUCCUGAGCCGCUUUAAAGGGGACGAUGGGAACACACCAGACGAGUCCAGAGAGAGAUUUUCAUCCACACUGAAUUCCACCUUCAGAUUAGUUCCUCUGAAGAUCCAGAAGCUUCAGCUGUCUGACUCUGCUGUGUACUACUGUGCUCUGCAGCCCACAGUGACAGGAAACACCAAAACUCUGUACAAAAACCUUCUGAACAAAGACAACACAAUACUCCACAACAUCUAG